rnacentral:rRNA from 1 species
UACGGAGGAUCCGAGCGUUAUCCGGAUUUAUUGGGUUUAAAGGGUGCGCAGGCGGGAGAUUAAGUCGGCGGUGAAAUUUUGCAGCUCAACUGUAAAAGUGCCUUCGAAACUGGUUUCCUUGAGUGUAGAUGAAGUAGGCGGAAUUUGUGGUGUAGUGGUGAAAUGCAUAGAUAUCACGAGGAACUCCGAUUGCGCAGGCAGCUUACUAAACUACUACUGACGCUCAGGCACGAAGGCGUGGGGAUCAAACAGGAUUAGAUACCCUGGUA